AAGUCGUAACAAGGUUUCCGUAGGUGAACCUGCGGAGGGAUCAUUAACACGUUUCAACAACGUACCCACCAAACCAAUGGAAACGCGAGUCGAUUCUCGGCUCAGUUCUCUCCCUUCUGUCUGCUGCAGCAAUCAUUGCUGCAUGUAUUCAGCAAGGCUUUCUCCUUCUUAACUGACCCCUUUCCAACUUCAAUGCUUGCUGCUGAGUACUAUGUGAAAGUAGUGUUUGGUGUGUGUGGUGUUGUUCCUAACUGUCCUGUAUUCUAUGUGCUCCUAGCUAUGCUUAGCUAUGCUGGUGAGCAGAUAGUUGAUAUUUAAUGCAAAGCACAACUCUUAGCAACGGAUAUCUUGGUUCUC
rnacentral:misc_RNA from 1 species